GUGCUAAUACAUGCAAGUCGAACGAGUUCUCGUUGAUGAUCGGUGCUUGCACCGAGAUUCAACAUGGAACGAGUGGCGGACGGGUGAGUAACACGUGGGUAACCUGCCCUUAAGUGGGGGAUAACAUUUGGAAACAGAUGCUAAUACCGCAUAGAUCCAAGAACCGCAUGGUUCUUGGCUGAAAGAUGGCGUAAGCUAUCGCUUUUGGAUGGACCCGCGGCGUAUUAGCUAGUUGGUGAGGUAAUGGCUCACCAAGGCGAUGAUACGUAGCCGAACUGAGAGGUUGAUCGGCCACAUUGGGACUGAGACACGGCCCAAACUCCUACGGGAGGCAGCAGUAGGGAAUCUUCCACAAUGGACGCAAGUCUGAUGGAGCAACGCCGCGUGAGUGAAGAAGGCUUUCGGGUCGUAAAACUCUGUUGUUGGAGAAGAAUGGUCGGCAGAGUAACUGUUGUCGGCGUGACGGUAUCCAACCAGAAAGCCACGGCUAACUACGUGCCAGCAGCCGCGGUAAUACGUAGGUGGCAAGCGUUAUCCGGAUUUAUUGGGCGUAAAGCGAGCGCAGGCGGUUUUUUAAGUCUGAUGUGAAAGCCCUCGGCUUAACCGAGGAAGCGCAUCGGAAACUGGGAAACUUGAGUGCAGAAGAGGACAGUGGAACUCCAUGUGUAGCGGUGAAAUGCGUAGAUAUAUGGAAGAACACCAGUGGCGAAGGCGGCUGUCUGGUCUGUAACUGACGCUGAGGCUCGAAAGCAUGGGUAGCGAACAGGAUUAGAUACCCUGGUAGUCCAUGCCGUAAACGAUGAAUGCUAGGUGUUGGAGGGUUUCCGCCCUUCAGUGCCGCAGCUAACGCAUUAAGCAUUCCGCCUGGGGAGUACGACCGCAAGGUUGAAACUCAAAGGAAUUGACGGGGGCCCGCACAAGCGGUGGAGCAUGUGGUUUAAUUCGAAGCAACGCGAAGAACCUUACCAGGUCUUGACAUCUUUUGAUCACCUGAGAGAUCAGGUUUCCCCUUCGGGGGCAAAAUGACAGGUGGUGCAUGGUUGUCGUCAGCUCGUGUCGUGAGAUGUUGGGUUAAGUCCCGCAACGAGCGCAACCCUUAUGACUAGUUGCCAGCAUUUAGUUGGGCACUCUAGUAAGACUGCCGGUGACAAACCGGAGGAAGGUGGGGAUGACGUCAAAUCAUCAUGCCCCUUAUGACCUGGGCUACACACGUGCUACAAUGGAUGGUACAACGAGUUGCGAGACCGCGAGGUCAAGCUAAUCUCUUAAAGCCAUUCUCAGUUCGGACUGUAGGCUGCAACUCGCCUACACGAAGUCGGAAUCGCUAGUAAUCGCGGAUCAGCACGCCGCGGUGAAUACGUUCCCGGGCCUUGUACACACCGCCCGUCACACCAUGAGAGUUUGUAACACCCGAAGCCGGUGGCGUAACCCUUUUAGGGAGCGAGCCGUCUAAGUGGA
rnacentral:rRNA from 4 species